CUUCAGCGAGCCCAGCCACAGCGGCCGGUCGGCCGGGCGGUCCUGCCCGUAGGUCGCGAGGACCGCCUGUGCCUC
rfam:Nocardia sp. NRRL S-836 P437contig2.1, whole genome shotgun sequence.